AGCAGUGACAGCACGUUGAAUACAACAGUUUCCAAUUAAUCACUGAAGUUAAACAAAGUUGCAUGUGGUUAGUAUCCGGAUGGGUGACCAUGUGGGUAAUUACGCUGGCUUUUU
rfam:Asian citrus Psyllid, Diaphorina citri - Florida Strain, whole genome shotgun sequence.